GGAAUCUUCCGCAAUGGACGAAAGUCUGACGGAGCAACGCCGCGUGAGUGAUGAAGGUUUUCGGAUCGUAAAGCUCUGUUGUUAGGGAAGAACAAGUACCGUUCGAAUAGGGCGGUACCAUGACGGUACCUAACCAGAAAGCCACGGCUAACUACGUGCCAGCAGCCGCGGUAAUACGUAGGUGGCAAGCGUUGUCCGGAAUUAUUGGGCGUAAAGGGCGCGCAGGCGGUUUUUUAAGUCUGAUGUGAAAGCCCCCGGCUCAACCGGGGAGGGUCAUUGGAAACUGGGGAACUUGAGUGCAGAAGAGGAGAGUGGAAUUCCACGUGUAGCGGUGAAAUGCGUAGAGAUGUGGAGGAACACCAGUGGCGAAGGCGACUCUCUGGUCUGUAACUGACGCUGAGGAGCGAAAGCGUGGGGAGCGAACAGGA
rnacentral:misc_RNA from 1 species